GUCUAAAGCCAUGACACCCUAAACAAGCCUGAUCUCGGGAGCUAAGCAGGGUCAGGCCUGGUUAGUACUUGGAUGAGAGACCACCUAGGAAGACUAGGUACUGUAGGCG
rnacentral:rRNA from 1 species